GAUGAACGCUAGCGGCAGGCCUAACACAUGCAAGUCGAGGGGUAGCAGGAUUAAGCUUGCUUAAUUGCUGACGACCGGCGCACGGGUGCGUAACGCGUAUGCAACCUACCUUAUACUGGGGUAUAGCCCGGAGAAAUUCGGAUUAACCCCCAUAGUACUAAUGAAUCGCAUGGUUUAUUAGUUAAAGCAUUGCGGUAUAAGAUGGGCAUGCGUCCUAUUAGCUAGACGGUGAGGUAACGGCUCACCAUGGCUACGAUAGGUAGGGGGCCUGAGAGGGUGGUCCCCCACACUGGUACUGAGACACGGACCAGACUCCUACGGGAGGCAGCAGUGAGGAAUAUUGGUCAAUGGGCGCAAGCCUGAACCAGCCAUGCCGCGUGCAGGAAGAAUGCCCUAUGGGUUGUAAACUGCUUUUAUUUGGGAAUAAACCUCUUUACGUGUAGAGAGCUGAAGGUACCAAAUGAAUAAGCACCGGCUAACUCCGUGCCAGCAGCCGCCGUAA
rnacentral:rRNA from 1 species